GACGAACGCUGGCGGCGUGCUUAACACAUGCAAGUCGAACGGAAAGGCCCUGCUUUUGUGGGGUGCUCGAGUGGCGAACGGGUGAGUAACACGUGAGUAACCUGCCCUUGACUUUGGGAUAACUUCAGGAAACUGGGGCUAAUACCGGAUAGGAGCUCCUGCUGCAUGGUGGGGGUUGGAAAGUUUCGGCGGUUGGGGAUGGACUCGCGGCUUAUCAGCUUGUUGGUGGGGUAGUGGCUUACCAAGGCUUUGACGGGUAGCCGGCCUGAGAGGGUGACCGGCCCACUUGGGAAUGGGAUACGGGCCCGAAUCCUUCGGGGGGCAGGCGGGGGGAAUAUUGCACAAUGGGGGGAAGGCUGAAGGCGGAACGCCGCGUGCGGGAUGACGGCCUUCGGGUUGUAAACCGCUUUCGCCUGGGACGAAGCGGGAGUGACGGUAAUGGGUAAAGAAGCACCGGCUAACUACGUG
rnacentral:rRNA from 1 species